rnacentral:lncRNA from 1 species
UUCUGUGUAUACAGUGAUUAAGCACAUAGGUUCUGGAGCCAGUCUGUUUCUUUCAAAAUCACCUCAUUGCUUUUGAAGAAUCAGGGAAACCCCCAUGAGACUACAGGUGUGAAGCAAGAUAGAAGCAUCAGUGCAAAAGAGUACUGCAUUUCCAAAUAAAUCCACUCACAAUCUUUAAUCAGGCUAUAAAUUUUAAGAAAUCUGGACCAAGACAGUUUGCUCCUAGAGCAUCCCACAAAUGCAGAUCUUCAGAGUGAGAUUUUAUAAAUGCAGCUCUUCAGAGUGAGAUUUUAUUAUUGGAUUGCUCACCUGUCUGUUGUUCCUCUAAUCUGAUGGGACACUCCUGCAAUGAUGCUUCAGCUGUAUUUUAACCUCAAGAAACCCUAAGAUCCCUCACUCCUAUGCUGCUGUCAACGGGAGGCUAAGAAGCACAGAGAAAUAGGCCAUACAAAGUCUACCUCUCUGAACACUCUGAUUCUCUUACUGAGAUACCUUGGAACAUGGUUUGAAUAAUAUUGCUGUAACUUCUUUCAUGUCAGGAAGCUCUGAUAUGCAGAAACACAGAAAGGAAGAGGAUUAGCAAUUUUCCCAGAUCUGAGUUGAGCUGAGAUUUGAGUCAAGGCAAUGUUGCUUCUGGGGCUGUAACAACUAGAUUUUAUUGUCUCCUGAACAGAUACUACCUUUUCUUACUUAAUAAGAA